ensembl:lncRNA
AAAACUUUGGUGUGAAGCUACAUUAAUUGAGAAUGGUGACCAUUCUGUCACCCCAAUUAUUGCACUCACCAGAUUCAGCCAGGCCACUAUGUGCAUAUUGGUACCUGCUGAGAAUGCUGAUGGAAGCCACAGUGAUAGUUACCUUGGUCAUGCUGAAACUAAAAUAUUUUAAGAAGUGUGUUAUCAGUCUGCAGCUGGACCCCAUAUACCAUAUACCCAUAUAUAGACACAUGUCCAUCUCACCAAGAGGGGUACAGGCUCUAGCUUGCUAGUGAUGCAAGGCCUUCCUAACAAAAGGGGUCCACUUGGGAGUGGUGCCCUAUUGCAGAGAGAUUUGAAAAACAAAUGAGCACAGAUUCCUCUCACUGGCUGGCACAGUGUGGUGUAACUGGUGUAUAGACGGCAUGUGACAUCAGAACACAACAACCAGUUAGAAUUGAGGGCCAUCCAUCUGUGACAACUGUGACAGAGAGAUAAGUCAAUCAUCAUGGUGCUACAAGGUCUGAUGGCUCUCUUAACCUUGCAUUGAAGCUUCUCAUGUGGGGCCAGCCACAGCUAGCAAUACUGAGAGCAACUCAACUACUGGAACUGUACUUCUGUGCAUUCCAUUCUCUGCACCACUAUAUGCUCAGGAGACUAUAUGCCCAGGGAAGUGGCACAUGAACUUAGAAUUGUUGUCUCAUGGAGAAAAAGUUUGGCAAGGUACAAGUACACUUUUUCACCAAUGCUAAGUCAAAUCAUAGCUGAUUGUGGUUAUUCCUAGCAGAGCGACAGGAUGCACUGGCUCAUGACUGGCCCAGCCAUCUACACCGUAUAGCAAAAACAUAAAGAUCUUUCACUGCAGCUAAGGGGCUUAGCUCAAAUGUUCUCCAGCAUGACAAGGACCAUGUGCAGAAAGUGAGGUCCAUAAAGACAUGCUCUGAUGUCACAUGCCCACAUGCCCUUGCUAGGGGUUGCAAUGGCCUGGCAGCUUCCUGCUUGAUCAGAUCUACAAUCCCAAAUGGAAGAAAUGAUUUGGCAACCCCAGGCAGGUCUCCUGCACCUUGUCUCCUCAGGACAAAUUGUGGACUGAGUAUUGUGACCUAGCAGUUCUGGAAACACCUGGACGUAAGAGCCUCUAGUUCACAGGCUUGGAUGCUCUUAGUUGGAAGCUGUUCCAAGAGUAGUCCACACCUUAUGAACUGUAGCAAUUGCAUCAAACAUAACUUUGUUGGAAAAAGGCUCUGCAUGUGUGCACAAGAAGGUAUCCAAGUGAAUCUCACCACUGCUGGCAGGUGUCCAGGCUUCACAAAACCAGAGUUACAUAUGUAACUCGCAAUGUCAUGUAUCAUAUAGCUGUAUUUAUUAAACAUAUACAGUU